CCUACGGGAGACUGCAGUGAGGAAUAUUGGUCAAUGGCCGGAAGGCUGAACCAGCCAUGCCGCGUGAAGGUCAGUGCCCUAUGGGCGUUAAACUUCUUUUGUGCUGGAGCAAUAAUGGUCACGUGUGGCCAGACGAGAGUACCGUACGAAUAAGCAUCGGCUAACUCCGUGCCAGAAGCCGCGGUAAUACGGGGGAUGCAAGCGUUAUCCGGAUUUAUUGGGUUUAAAGGGUGCGUAGGCUGUGAGGUAAGUCAGCGGUGAAAUGCCCCCGCUCAACGGGGUGAAGUGCCAUUGAUACUGCCUUGCGGGAAUGCUGAUGACGUGGGAGGAAUGUGUGGUGUAGCGGUGAAAUGCAUAGAGAUCACACAGAACACCGAUUGCGAAGGCAUCUCACGAAUCCGCGAUUGACGCUGAUGCACGAAAGCGUGGGUAUCAAACAGGAUUAGAUACCCGGGUAGUC
rnacentral:rRNA from 1 species